rnacentral:tRNA from 1 species
UCCCUGGUAGCUCAGCUGGUAGAGCAAGUGGCUGUUAACCACUGUGUCGGCGGUUCGAAUCCGUCCCAGGGAG